rnacentral:rRNA from 1 species
GCUCUAGUAACGGCGAGUGAAGCAGCAAUAGCUCAAAUUUGAAAUCUGGCGUCUUCGACGUCCGAGUUGUAAUUUGUAGAGGAUGCUUCUGAGUAACCACCGACCUAAGUUCCUUGGAACAGGACGUCAUAGAGGGUGAGAAUCCCGUAUGCGGUCGGAAAGGUGCUCUAUACGUAGCUCCUUCGACGAGUCGAGUUGUUUGGGAAUGCAGCUCUAAAUGGGAGGUAAAUUUCUUCUAAAGCUAAAUAUUGGCCAGAGACCGAUAGCGCACAAGUAGAGUGAUCGAAAGAUGAAAAGCACUUUGGAAAGAGAGUUAAAAAGCACGUGAAAUUGUUAAAAGGGAAGGGAUUGCAACCAGACUUGCUCGCGGUGUUCCGCCGGUCUUCUGACCGGUCUACUCGCCGCGUUGCAGGCCAGCAUCGUCUGGUGCCGCUGGAUAAGACUUGAGGAGUGUAGCUCCCUCGGGAGUGUUAUAGCCUCUUGUGAUGCAGCGAGCGCCGGGCGAGGUCCGCGCUUCGGCUAGGA